GGAAUGCUGCGCUGGAGCCUGUCACGCGUCCAUACGCUCGCCAGAAAUGAUGACGGCACUUGGAGUCCGCCCCCAUGCCGAAUGCCAACGGAAACUUGAACCAACGCACGCCAUGCUUCUGCAAGACAGUUACAAUGGCACUGACCCCGGAUUUCCAGUUGCUGCUGCUGAAUUCGGAGCUCGUGCAUCUCACAUUUCUUCUCCAGUGCAGCCAGUCGUUUCUCCAAUGACUCAUUCUUCUCAUCACUGCAAGUCGUUAUCCGGGCUGCGCAUGAUGGAUCGUCUGUAGGCACGUUCUGCGUCGAUUCGCCAACUGUCUUGACAGGACUUGGCACUGGUGGCACCACUUGUAUCUCCUCUUCAUCCGCAUGCUCAGUUUGGUCUUCAGACACAACCUAGCACAAAACAACAUUGUGCAAAUAAUUUUGUUUAUACAACAGAACAUAACUCUUCAAACUGUUAUAAUUAGAAGACUUUCAUAUUUCUUCUCCUCUUGUGCUUCAUAUCGCGUACAACAUGCACAUAUUAUAAUUAGAAUACGCUAGUCUACCAUUACCGGUAUUGUAUUCAUCCAACACGACUGAAUUGUGUGCAGUCCAAAAAAUUACGUAUGCUUGACACGGUA